ACCCAUUCUUCUCCCCCUCUCCUUGGCAGCCGCCAGCCCCCAUUUUCUCCUUUCUCGCCGGCGAUAAUCGCCAUCCUCAAUCAGUGACACCCCUCUUCCCCUCUCCGUCUCUCAACCUCCUUAUGCUCCCUCUUCUCCUCCCUCCUCCCUUCUCUUUCUCUUGUAGCAAGCAGCUCCACCGGCGAGCUGCCAGGUGACAAGCAACAGCCAGCAGCAAGGCGAGGCCACGACGAACAGCAGUUUCAACCGGCGAGCAGCAGCCCCGCUGCUCUUCUGUCUCUCUUCCUCUCCUCUCCCUUUCGCUUCCUUCCCCUUCCCGUCCUUCUCCCUCUCUAAGCCCCCUCUUCUUUUAAUGUCUUUGCAGGAUCAUCAGCGACAACAACAUCCAAGCGAGGCGACCAGUAGACACUGCUCCAGCCAGCAGCAGCAAUGCCGGCGUGGACGAGCAGCAAGGAUGGCUAAGCAGCAGCUGGACAGCAACCUGCAAAGACUACCGGCAGCUUUGUCCAGCGAAACCAGCAGCCUAGCGAGACAGUGCAGCAGCAGGCUCCACCGGCGACGACAACAACUCCGCUGAAGUCUUUUGGAAAUGCGAUUUUGUUAAAGACGGAUCUCUCUAACAGAUCCACACGGGUUCCGGUCGUUGAAGGCUCAUUCAAGACGACUUGAAAAAGUCUUGGAUAUUCUCUAUUAUCCAAGUGUAUAGGUCCUCACAUUCCGAGGGCGAUUUUAAUAUCUUGCCUAUGAAGUUCUUUUGUUUUUCUUUGACUUUUAUUUUCAUUCAACUUUAAUUUGGUACGACAUGUAUAAGUCUAUAUAUGGAUUCUUUACAUUUGAUGUAGGGGAAAGCCCAAAUUAUGAUGAUCGUUUAGAUGGUAUGAGAUGAGACUAUCUUUUUAUGUUUUA